AGCAGAAGCAGCAGCAGUGUGUGUGUGUGGCGAGGAUGGUGGUGGUGGUGUGGUGUGGUGAAGCUCUCUGUGACGCCCUCGCCUCACACGUUAUAAACAGUAGUCCCGUGUGGUAGUGUUUAUGUGACUCGGCUGUACUAGCACUUUACAGGUCAACCGGAAGUCGCCCACGUCAACUAGGACCAUCUCCCCCCCCCGCCCACCACGACGCCCACCUCAAUUGGGUUUUACCGCCGCCGCCCAUCACCGACGCCCAUGCUAGCCCCUGUGACUCUGCUCCCUUCGGCUGCUACUCCCACAUGUUGAAUUGGUUAGCCAGCAGAUGGGUCCAGCCGUGAGAGGUGCGGGAUGCGGCUGGUGCGUCGGCGUGGGCUGGCGUGGCGGGAGGCGGCGGUGAAGGCUGCCGCCGCUAAGGCUCGCCCGCCCAAGCAGCCAGACCGCUGGGCUCAACUCCUAGAGCAGCUCAAGAACCCCGCCCCCUGUGACCACCCCUCGUGUAGAGGCGGCCACCAGCCCGGGGAGGACCACAACAUACCUACCAUACGCAGGGAGUCCCGGGCGAUGGUGGUGCAGAGACAAGCCAAGCAGGAAGAGGAGUUCCAGGGGUUCACGACUCGCCUGCUGGUGGUGUUGGCGCUGCUGCUGGCUGGUCUCACCGCCUUGGUGCUGUACACGCUCUUCUCCUCCCCAACUCUCCUCUCCCAGCAGCCCUCGACGCCCCAAGACUCCUAGCCAGACAGGAGGGCUCCCACCACCACCCGCCCUGGUAUACUGUACUGUACACGCUUCUCUCCUACCACCACACUCUUCUCUCAGCAGCCCUUGACCUCCAGAAUAUAUAGCCAGGGCAGGACUUCCACCACCCUCCCGUCCCUCUCACCUACUAUACACAAGGCCAUGGAAUAUAGUGUUAGUUUUGCCUACGUUGGCCCAAGACUUUCGAGACAGCUCAAAGUGUCAGUAAAACAGUGACACACUUGUUAGUAGUGGACAGUUCACUGGUUGUAGUAGUAAACGAAACAUGCAUCUGGUCUAAUAAUGUCAAUGACAACCCGAGGAACGUAUAAAGUUUCCCAACACAUUAAAAACUGCACCACUUCAUUAGGUACAUCCGAGAGUGUUAUGUCACAGGUCCUCCCGCGUCUACCCAUCAUGUUUAGCGAGGUGCUGUAUCCUUGAGGUGAUGAAUGAUGACUCAAGCUUCAAUGAGCGUUCAUCCGUGUUCGGUCGCCAAGACUUCGGUGGACGCGGCAUAUAUGCAGUUCAAGCCAACGUUGACAACGAGCACAGGCCACACCGUGAAGGAGAAACUGCAUUUCCCCUCCCUACACGUACCGCCACUAGACCAGACGCGUGAUGGCAGUCUCAUCCAGUGAACGAACGAGCCGCAUUGAAGAAAACGGAGACGAAGACGCAAUAAACCCAUGAAGAAAAAUGAAGGAAGAAUCAACAAGUGGGAGAAGACAUGAGAUAAACACAAUGAAAAAGAGGCGUUAGAAAAGAAGAAGGCAAAGAUGUGAAGCGAGGAGAGGAAAACACGAAACGGCUGAACUAAUGCGGGAGGAAUUGAGAGGUGGUGGGAGGGUGGUGAAGCGAAGAGGAACAGGGAGCCAACAACAGGUGGUAAUGUAGGAUCAGUCAGGCAACAGGUGGUGACGUAGGAUCAGUCAGGCAACAGGUGGUGACGUAGGAUCAGUCAGGCAACAGGUGGUGACGUAGGAUCAGUCAGGCAACAGGUGGUGACGUAGGAUCAGUCAGGCAACAGGUGGUGACGUAGGAUCAGUCAGGCAACAGGUGGUGACGUAGGAUCAGUCAGGCAACAGGUGGUGACGUAGGAUCAGUCAGGCAACAGGUGGUGACGUAGGAACAGUCAGGCAACAGGUGGUGACGUAGGAACAGUCAGGCAACAGGUGGUGACGUAGGAACAGUCAGGCAACAGGUGGUGACGUAGGAACAGUCAGGCAACAGGUGGUGACGUAGGAUCAGUCAGGCAACAGGUGGUGACGUAGGAACAGUCAGGCAACAGGUGGUGACGUAGGAUCAGUCAGGCAACAGGUGGUGACGUAGGAUCAGUCAGGCAACAGGUGGUGACGUAGGAUCAGUCAGGCAACAGGUGGUGACGUAGGAUCAGUCAGGCAACAGGUGGUGACGUAGGAUUAGUCAACAGGAUCAAGGGUGGUACAUGUUAACGCGCUAAACUCCCACCAAUAUGUCAGGUGAGAAGGGUGUUAUCCAGUGUGACACUCACUACCAAACACCACGGGUUUCCCUGUCCCCGGUUACCUCCUGUACUAACACUGGAUACACCGCCCAAACGGCUGAUGACUGGCUAAUAUGAAUCAACAGAAUCAGUCACACCUCUCCUUGACCAAUGGAUCGAUCCUCAUUAUAAAUGGUCUUCCCUUGAAAAAUUUAUAUAUAUAUAUAUAUAUAUAUAUAUAUAUAUAUAUAUAUAUAUAUAUAUAUAUAUAUAUAUAUAUAUAUAUUCCUACGUGUCUUUUCUGUGUGUACAUAUUGUUGUAAUUAAAGAGCAGUCGUGUGCGCAGAAAGAAAAAUAAGUGGUAUAGAUAAGGCAAGCCAACCCAAGUUUAUAAUGGUUAUUUUUUUUAAAUCGUUGUUUUCUGGUUUUCUCUAUACCAUGAAAAAUAUUAUUGUUAUUUAUUUAAUGAUUUUUAUUUAUUUAUUUAUAAGUGUCUUAACUAACUGCUAAAGAAAGUUUAGGUGUUAAACUGUACAUUGUUAUACCUGUCUGUGAUACUUUGUCCUCAGAGCCCUACUCUCCCGCGGGAGUCUCCUCUCUCUUGUAUAUACAAAACUAUAAGUGUGCAAAUCGUCAAUCCCCACCAGGUGUUGACUUCUUACCGAUGCAGUAUUAGGUAGUCAAAUUCAUCAUGUGACGUGUGGACGUUCGCAUAUCACUGAAUAGUAGUGUUGUGGCCCAUAUCGAUGUCUAUACACAGGUUCUGACCUCUGAAUUAUUUGUAGCAGGUGAAAUACAGGCUUAGAUCCUUUACUAGAAGAUUUGUUCAUCUAUCUUUUUUUCAUAGUGUCGAGGAUUCGUUCAUCUAUGUUCCCCAAUGGCAGAGAAAAAUUAACGCACCGUCUAACAUUUUCUGAGAUGACAACCAUGCUGGAUGUUACCUAACCCUGAAUUACAUGUAGGAGGCAACUGGAAAUGUCGGGUAAGGUAGAGGAAAUUUAUGUAUUAACUCUGCAUCUAGGAUUUUUAGACUAACAAGUACUUUAAACUUUUAUUGUGUGUGUGCGGGGGGUAUGUGAGUGUUUGUGUGUGUAUGUGGGUACUUUUGCUGUAUAUGAUGCAAAGUUAUAAUAACGUUAAGUUGAACGUUAUGUAAGGCAGACGUUGAUAAUGACGAACGAGGUGUAUAGGUCGAAGCAAAGAUACAUUUUAUCAAUACAUUACUAGGAUCUAUGCCUGUGAACUUGCUCGUGACUAGCUUUUACUAGGUGUUGUAAUUACCUUUUUUCAUCCUCUCAAUAUACAGUCUAGCGUAAUUUACACUAAUUUCUACGGUGAACUGUAGCCUAAUUGAACCUAAUCAAGAUUAGAGGGCGUGAAGUUCGAAAAAAUAAGUUGAAAACAAAUUAAGGUGUAGAUGUGGUUUAUCAGAUGAAGGUUGUGACGGUAAAUUAUGUCAGAUGAUGUAGUAUUGUGUUGUAGAAUAGAAGAAUGUCCUUUUUUAGCGGUUAACAGUGGCAGAACGUUAGUCAAGCGCUCAAAAAUGGGAGAAUCUCCUAGUCCAACGUUCAACAAUGGGUAUAUGCCCUAACUUUGCCCUUGUUCAGCCUUCAACAAUGGGAGAAUGCCCUUGUCCAACAUUCAAAAAUGGUUAUAUGCGUUCAACAAAUAUAGAAUGAUCUAGUCUACUGUAUCGCACAAUAGGAAAAUGACCUUGUCCAGUGCUCAACGAUAGGAUAACCGUAACUUGGGCAAAUUUAAAAAUAAAAUAGUUUCCAAAGGUUUUGUGGUUAAAGUAUUCUAGAAAAGAAAAUCAGUUUAUGUACAAGGAGUUUCAGUCUCUUGGGGAAAUUACACAUUUAAAACAUAUGUACUGUACACCAUCUUUCACAGAACAUAACUUUAUCCUUGAAAAUUCUGGACUAAUAUUUGCAGGUAUCAUGACUGCCUUUGAUGCGUUCUUAAGACAACUUUGCCCGCGGGUAAGAAAAUGGCCACAGCGGAUAAGGCGAAGAAUGAUUAGGUAUAUACCGACGUGUGAAUGUGUCUUUUCCUCAAUGGGGACACUGUAAACACAGACAUCAAUGGACUUGUAAACAACCUAUAGAUACUGAUGUGCUAGUAUAACAGUGAUCUAGAAUAUCCACGAGCUUACAAUGGCUGUCAUGUCCAGUUGAGAAUCACAGAUGAAAAAACACACUUAGCGUAGUGAUGUAUAGUCUUCAUGGUGGCAUUAACUUGCACAAAAGUUUUAGCGGUGAAUAUUUCUCGGCCGAGUUCCGGUGGUGUGUUCACAGGGGUUAACUAACCCAGUUGAAUUAGAAGUUAAUUCGAUUGGCGACAAAAGACAAAACUCAGGCCUUAUUACGCAUUUCUAACGGAGAACAAUGCACCUGUUAAUCAAGGCGAUGAUUGAAUAUUUCAUGGCUCUACAACUUGUCUCAUUACGCUUCUAUUUAUACCAGACUCCUCAGUGUGAAUAUCUACGGCAUGUUCAUAUGUAAAUGGUAAUUCCUUUAAGGAGUAAAUAUUUUAUGUGUAUAUAUUCACAAUGCAUGUAAUGUCUGUGUCUUCUUCAACAGAUGCCUUCAACUGUAUAUUUGUGUUUAUGUGAUCGUAAUAAUGUGUGUAAAAGGGUUUCAAAAGUGUGAUUAUUCUUAAAAGCGUUGUUAUUUUACCCUGAAUAUAGUAAUUAACAUCUUAGUAGUGUUAGUAGUAGUUGUAGUAUUGAUAUUGGUCGUGUUAUCAGCAAGGAGAUACGGACUUUUUAACAUAGACACUUUAAGCAUCGUCUUUCCACACACACACACACACACACACACACACACACACACACACACACACGCGAUCCUUAAACUUUAUUGUAUCAACUUAAAACCUUUGAUAUCACUCCCCUUGAAUGCAAACCUUUCAAAGUGGAUCUUAUAUGUCUACGGAAGUUUCAUCUAGUAUAAAUCUUAUAUAAUUAUCCUAAGAAAAGAGUUACAAUAUCUGUAUUACUUUGCUCAUUUGAUAUUUGCUUUAUUUUCAUUAUUUGUUUUAAUAUUUGGUUAUUGUGUCUAGUAGUAUUAGCCUAGUAAUAUAAAACUGAAUUCUGUUUUAGGUUAAUUAGAAUACUCUAUUUUAUUUAAUCCUCGGUGCUUUAACAUACAACUUUGAUCAGUGUUUAUAUGCUUACUUAAAGACUCAGUGUUACCAGCUUCUGCCUACAAUACAACAUGAAUGUGCCUAUAUCUACAAGUGUAUCUUGUCAGCCUUUCUUGGUGUGGUAAAAUUUUUUGUAUGUUUCGCAAGUUCUAGUAUAAACUUUUUCUGACUUAUUGUCUAAUAAUCCAUUGUU